GCAAAUAGCAAAGUCAGCAUCCUUACUCUCCUUUUAAUCUGUGGGCUGUUUUUCUUGGGAAGCAAUGUGCAAUAUGCUGAAGCCCAAAAGAAAGUUCGCCCAAAAAAUUGCCUCAAAAUUGGGUACAUGACUUGCCCAAAAUCUGGUUCAAGGAGGCUUCAUCCAGGCUGCACAAACUGUUGCAAAAUCAAGAAGGGUUGCAAACUUUAUCGACCUAAUGGAAGCCUUAUUUGUACUGGAAAGUAAUUUGGAUAUGAGAUAAAUCUUGAAUAAACUAUCAUAUGUUUGUACUACAAAC